rnacentral:piRNA from 1 species
UGAAUUUGGGUCUUUCAUACGGUA